GCAGGUAUGGCGGAAUUGGCAGACGCGCACGGUUCAGGUCCGUGUGAAGGUUACUUCAUGGAGGUUCGAGUCCUCUUACCUGCACCA
rnacentral:tRNA from 1 species